rnacentral:rRNA from 1 species
UAGUAUUAGUUAUGUUCUUGAAAAUUAAAAAAGUUGGCGGUAUUUUAGUCUAUUUAGAGGAACCUGUUCUAUAAUCGAUAAUCCACGAUUUGAUUUACUUAUUGUUUAAGUUUGCAUAUCGCCGUAGAUUGAAUAUUUUUAAAGAAAAAGAAAUGUUCAAUAAGUUUAUAAAAAAAGAAAUCAGGUCAAGAUGUAGCAUAUAAAUAAGAAGAGAUGGGUUACAAUAAAUUUAUUUAUAAUGAAUUAAUAAAUUUAAUUUUAUAAUGAAGGUGGAUUUAAAGGUAAU